CAUUGCAAUGAGUGGCGAACGGGUGAGUAACACGUGGGAAACCUACCUCUUAGCAGGGGAUAACAUUUGGAAACAAAUGCUAAUACCGUAUAAUAAUUAAAACCGCAUGGUUUUAGUUUAAAAGAUGGUCUUGCUAUCACUAAGAGAUGGUCCCGCGGUGUAUUAGUUAGUUGGUGAGGUAAUGGCUCACCAAGACAAUGAUACAUAGCCGAGUUGAGAGACUGACCGGCCACAAUGGGACUGAGACACGGCCCAUACUCCUACGGGAGGCAGCAGUAGGGAAUCUUCCACAAUGGACGAAAGUCUGAUGGAGCAACGCCGCGUGUGUGAUGAAGGGUUUCGGCUCGUAAAACACUGUUGUAAGAGAAGAAUGACAUUGAGAGUAACUGUUCAAUGUGUGACGGUAUCUUACCAGAAAGGAACGGCUAAAUACGUGCCAGCAGCCGCGGUAAUACGUAUGUUCCAAGCGUUAUCCGGAUUUAUUGGGCGUAAAGCGAGCGCAGACGGUUAUUUAAGUCUGAAGUGAAAGCCCUCGGCUCAACCGAGGAAUUGCUUUGGAAACUGGAUAACUUGAGUGCAGUAGAGGAAAGUGGAACUCCAUGUGUAGCGGUGAAAUGCGUAGAUAUAUGGAAGAACACCAGUGGCGAAGGCGGCUUUCUGGACUGUAACUGACGUUGAGGCUCGAAAGUGUGGGUAGCAAACAGGAUUAGAUACCCUGGUAGUCCACACUGUAAACGAUGAGUGCUAGUUGUUCGAGGGUUUCCGCCCUUGAGUGACGAAGCUAACGCAUUAAGCACUCCGCCUGGGGAGUACGACCGCAAGGUUGAAACUCAAAGGAAUUGACGGGGACCCGCACAAGCGGUGGAGCAUGUGGUUUAAUUCGAAGCAACGCGAAGAACCUUACCAGGUCUUGACAUCCUUUGACCACUCCAGAGAUGGAGCUUUCCCUUCGGGGACAAAGUGACAGGGUGGUGCAUGGUUGUCGUCAGCUCGUGUCGUGAGAUGUUGGGUUAAGUCCCGCAACGAGCGCAACCCUUAUUGUUAGUUGCCAGCAUUUAGUUGGGCACUCUAGCAAGACUGCCGGUGACAAACCGGAGGAAGGCGGGGAUGACGUCAAAUCAUCAUGCCCCUUAUGACCUGGGCUACACACGUGCUACAAUGGCAAGUACAACGAGUCGCCAACCCGCGAGGGUGCGCAAAUCUCUUAAAGCUUGUCUCAGUUCGGACUGUAGGCUGCAACUCGCCUACACGAAGUCGGAAUCGCUAGUAAUCGCGGAUCAGCACGCCGCGGUGAAUACGUUCCCGGGUCUUGUACACACCGCCCGUCACACCAUGAGAGUUUGUAACACCCAAAGUCGGUGAGGUAACCUU
rnacentral:rRNA from 1 species